GUCAUCUUCAAUGGUGAAGUGUUUAUGGAUUGAGGUCGGACAGACAUUGUAUGAGUUCUUGAGGUUUUUAUUCUUGGACCUUGAGAAAUUUCUUCGGUAUCCGUGUUCCUGCUCGUAGUCUUGCCUCCCUUCUUCGGUGGGCUUGAACCAAGAUCAAAGUCGUCUAACCUGCUCGCAGAAAAACAUGGUGGUAAACCAUGGAAAUGAAAAUAAAAUGGACAGCUUAAUCACCUGUUUCAACCAUGGGAACAUUUUAUGGUCUCUAUAUAUGCCACAAAAAUCCACAGCUGGCCAAAACUUGAGGAAUUGAACAAUGAGUAAGAUAAAGAAGACUGAAAGAUAGCCUGCAUGAUCUUUCUGAUGUAACGUUUUUAACAUCAAGUUAUCAAGAAAGUCUAUUUCAUGAUUCCUUCUCUUAAAUGGUAUUUUUUUCCACAAGUGGCAAGAAG